GGCUCAACCAAGGGGCUCAACCUGUGCACUUCAACCAAGAUACUGAUGUCUUUUGAAUUGUUUGUUUGAUGAGCUGAACAGUUUACCUUUGUUUAGCCGUGUAAUUCAAUUCAGAGUUGACUACGAGCAAAAAGAAAGUCCAUUGAUAUGGGCGCAAUAUGUAGCUUUGUAUGCAAACUGACCAAAUUCACAAAGAAAGGUGAGCUAUAGACCUGUCAUUCUCAUGGAAAGCAAGCCUGGUAAGUGGUAGGUCCUUUUAGUGUCAUAUUUUUUGCGUCUUUUUACUUUCGGUUUUGUACACCAGAUAUUUUUGGUUAUUGAAGACAUUUCACGGGGGUUUAGAUGGUACAAGGAUUCUCUAAAACAGGUCUCUCCGGCCCAGGGUGCUACCCUCCUGUAGGUUUUCAAUUCAGCCCUGUACCCAGGGUGCUACCCUCCUGUAGGUUUUCAAUUCAGCCCUGUACCCAGGGUGCUACCCUCCUGUAGGUUUUCAAUUCAGCCCUGUACCCAGGGUGCUACCCUCCUGUAGGUUUUCAAUUCAGCCCUGUACCCAGGGUGCUACCCUCCUGUAGGUUUUCAAUUCAGCCCUGUACCCAGGGUGCUACCCUCCUGUAGGUUUUCAAUUCAGCCCUGUACCCAGGGUGCUACCCUCCUGUAGGUUUUCAAUUCAGCCCUGUACCCAGGGUGCUACCCUCCUGUAGGUUUUCAAUUCAGCCCUGUACCCAGGGUGCUACCCUCCUGUAGGUUUUCAAUUCAGCCCUGUACCCAGGGUGCUACCCUCCUGUAGGUUUUCAAUUCAGCCCUGUACCCAGGGUGCUACCCUCCUGUAGGUUUUCAAUUCAGCCCUGUACCCAGGGUGCUACCCUCCUGUAGGUUUUCAAUUCAGCCCUGUACCCAGGGUGCUACCCUCCUGUAGGUUUUCAAUUCAGCCCUGUACCCAGGGUGCUACCCUCCUGUAGGUUUUCAAUUCAGCCCUGUACCCAGGGUGCUACCCUCCUGUAGGUUUUCAAUUCAGCCCUGUACCCAGGGUGCUACCCUCCUGUAGGUUUUCAAUUCAGCCCUGUACCCAGGGUGCUACCCUCCUGUAGGUUUUCAAUUCAGCCCUGUACCCAGGGUGCUACCCUCCUGUAGGUUUUCAAUUCAGCCCUGUACCCAGGGUGCUACCCUCCUGUAGGUUUUCAAUCCAACCUAGUUAAAACUAAACUGAUGUGGUUUAUCAACCAGCUAACUAUUAUAAAUCAGCUGCACUAGAUUAGGGUUGGAGUGAAAACCUACAGGAUGGUAGCUCUCCAGGAACAGGGUUGGAUUGUGGAUCUACAGGAUGGUAGCUCUCCAGGAACAGGGUUGGAGUGAAAACCUACAGGAUGGUAGCUCUCCAGGAACAGGGUUGGAUUGUGGACCUACAGGAUGGUAGCUCUCCAGGAACCGGGUUGGUAAUGCUCUACGCUAUACAUUGGUUGUUUUGUCAAAUAAACUGAAAUUAAGUGAAUAUUUAAAAAAAAAAGUUUUGCAACCAGACACUGGCGGAACUAUUUCUACAUAUUAAUCCUUUAACAGUUGUUGCUGCGAAAGAUAUUAGCUCAGCUCAGACAAGUUUGGUCUGAUUUCCUUUCAUUUCAGGAAUUGAUUUACACAUGGAUUUUAAGUAGCAUUAAAUAGAUUUUCUUGCCCAGGCAUCAGUGGCCUACAUCUUUGUCUCUCGGUCUCUUCUU